CGGCGCUGCCCACCCACCACACCGCUAGCGCCUCUGAACCUCGCCAGGCACGUCCGGUUCUGCGGCCCCCACUCCGCCCCCGCCUGCCGGGAGCCGCGCAGUUACAAAGUGCCGGGAGCCGUGCAGGGCCAGUGAACCCCUCGCUGAGACUCAGUUUGCUGCCAUCACAAGUGCUCUGAGAAUCCUGGAGAGGGAGGAUAUUGGAGACAAACGGGACUGCUGCCCGCCUUUUAGGCGACCGUUGGAGGCUGCUCUGUGCCGGACACAGGCAGGCUCCCACAGCUCAGAAGUCAGCGGAGCAGAGUCCCCAGGAAACCAGGGUCAGGGAUGGAGGCUGCUGAGGAGCGGGUCUGGGAGGUGGAGGCCAGAUACAAGAAAACCACAGUACCAGUAAAUGACAAAGGCUGGAUCUUAACCCAAGUCCUCCGACUCUGAAGGCCAUACCCAACAGGUCCCAUUUUAUUUGUUUUACUUUUUUUUAAUUGAAGAAAAAAAAACUAGCAUUCCCCUACAGUGCCCCCCACCUGGUGGGGACAUCUUGGGUUGGCAAGGCCACCACUUUCAAGAGUAGAAGUGUUUUUCAGCAGGAGGAGUUGGCUGCACCAAAGGAGCUCAGGAGAAGCUGGAGUCUCAGGCCCAGCAGGAACAGCCAGAGGUUUUGCAGCUUUGCCCAGCGGCUGGGUUCGCCGAAGGGUCUCCCUGGGGGUUCCCAGCAUGAGCCGAAGCCACCCUCCCCUGUGGGAUCUGUGAGGCCAGGCAUUGGGCCUCUUUAGGCCUCAGUUUCCUCCCCUGUCAUAGGCAACUGACAGUCCCUCUGGAGCGCCACUGGGGCUGCAGAGGGAGGCCGGAGAGAUGGUGCCCCCCCUCCUCCCCGCCACCCCCACACACAGCCCUCAGCAGGAUGGUGGCUGCCUGGCCGAUUGCUUUUGCAUUUGCAGCAGAGCGGGGGAGUGAGGCCAAGCUGAGUGCCCCCUCCCCCUGCCCAGCCAGCUCAGACCCAGGCGGUGGAGCAGGAAGGCUCUGGGGAAAACAGUGUGAGUCACCGGGCGGCCAGAGUGUGUCCUUCCCUGCUAGCGCACUACACGGCAGGUUUCAUAGCUUGACAGCAAAGUGUUUGAAAACGAAGAGCAGGAAUUCCGCGGUUCCUGCCCGGCCUCGCCAUCCAGCUGGGAGAAGAGCAUGGUCAUUUCCUUCACUUAGUCCACGGCCACUCGGCGCUCAUCCCCAGCACAGCCCUCCCCAGGCUGCGGCAAAGACUGUUGCUGUCCUGCUGAGGGAUGUGCCCCCGGGGAUUCAAUCGAGAUUCUGUAAGAUGUGGGGGAUGUGGCGGGGUGGGGGGUGGCUUCUCCACAUCCCCAGGGCUCUCCUUCUUCCCCAGUGAGGUGGGAGAAGCCGCAGAUUGGGGUCUGCUGAGGAGCGGGCCUACAUGAGGCCCAGGUCGUGACCCAUGGCUCCGGGGACCAGAAGGUAAACAGUUUCGGCACAGGGUGCUCCCACUAGGUCAUAGGUGGAUUCAGCCUUCUCUGAGAACCGAGAAGAUUCUGGAGUCUUUUGAAGCAGGAAAGGAGAUCAGAGGAGGAGAUGGUGGCAAAGCGGGGACUGAGACUCUUGAAAUGUGUUUAUCCCAGGCAGAGCAGCCGCUGAAAGGGGAGAUGGAGAGAGAAUGUCAAAAGCAGCACUGGGUGUUUUCCUGGGGUCUCUCCACAGUGCCCCAUCAUUUCCGAAUCACCAGGCCCGCUGGCACAGGGGUCUGCAGCCCAACCUCGCAGAAUGACCCCCUCUCUGCAGGCGGGCAUCACCCUGACAGCCCCCUCCCAGGACAGAAAACCUAUAGACACCUGGCUGCUGGGUGUCAGGCCACCCGCCCGUUUCUCUUCCUUUCCUUCCAGCCUUUCCUCUCCCAACCAGCCCCCUCCCCACCCGGUCCCCCUUCUAUUUUUCCUGGCUAAAACCAGCCACAGAUACCACCACACCCGGAAAGAGAUAAAUAAAUAAAAGAAAAACAACCUCAACUGUGAAAA
ensembl:lncRNA novel transcript